rnacentral:rRNA from 2 species
AGAGUUUGAUCCUGGCUCAGGAUGAACGCUGGCGGCGUGCCUAAUACAUGCAAGUCGAGCGAACGGACGAGAAGCUUGCUUCUCUGAUGUUAGCGGCGGACGGGUGAGUAACACGUGGAUAACCUACCUAUAAGACUGGGAUAACUUCGGGAAACCGGAGCUAAUACCGGAUAAUAUUUUGAACCGCAUGGUUCAAAAGUAAAAGACGGUCUUGCUGUCACUUAUAGAUGGAUCCGCGCUGCAUUAGCUAGUUGGUAAGGUAACGGCUUACCAAGGCAACGAUGCAUAGCCGACCUGAGAGGGUGAUCGGCCACACUGGAACUGAGACACGGUCCAGACUCCUACGGGAGGCAGCAGUAGGGAAUCUUCCGCAAUGGGCGAAAGCCUGACGGAGCAACGCCGCGUGAGUGAUGAAGGUCUUCGGAUCGUAAAACUCUGUUAUUAGGGAAGAACAUAUGUGUAAGUAACUGUGCACAUCUUGACGGUACCUAAUCAGAAAGCCACGGCUAACUACGUGCCAGCAGCCGCGGUAAUACGUAGGUGGCAAGCGUUAUCCGGAAUUAUUGGGCGUAAAGCGCGCGUAGGCGGUUUUUUAAGUCUGAUGUGAAAGCCCACGGCUCAACCGUGGAGGGUCAUUGGAAACUGGAAAACUUGAGUGCAGAAGAGGAAAGUGGAAUUCCAUGUGUAGCGGUGAAAUGCGCAGAGAUAUGGAGGAACACCAGUGGCGAAGGCGACUUUCUGGUCUGUAACUGACGCUGAUGUGCGAAAGCGUGGGGAUCAAACAGGAUUAGAUACCCUGGUAGUCCACGCCGUAAACGAUGAGUGCUAAGUGUUAGGGGGUUUCCGCCCCUUAGUGCUGCAGCUAACGCAUUAAGCACUCCGCCUGGGGAGUACGACCGCAAGGUUGAAACUCAAAGGAAUUGACGGGGACCCGCACAAGCGGUGGAGCAUGUGGUUUAAUUCGAAGCAACGCGAAGAACCUUACCAAAUCUUGACAUCCUUUGACAACUCUAGAGAUAGAGCCUUCCCCUUCGGGGGACAAAGUGACAGGUGGUGCAUGGUUGUCGUCAGCUCGUGUCGUGAGAUGUUGGGUUAAGUCCCGCAACGAGCGCAACCCUUAAGCUUAGUUGCCAUCAUUAAGUUGGGCACUCUAAGUUGACUGCCGGUGACAAACCGGAGGAAGGUGGGGAUGACGUCAAAUCAUCAUGCCCCUUAUGAUUUGGGCUACACACGUGCUACAAUGGACAAUACAAAGGGCAGCGAAACCGCGAGGUCAAGCAAAUCCCAUAAAGUUGUUCUCAGUUCGGAUUGUAGUCUGCAACUCGACUACAUGAAGCUGGAAUCGCUAGUAAUCGUAGAUCAGCAUGCUACGGUGAAUACGUUCCCGGGUCUUGUACACACCGCCCGUCACACCACGAGAGUUUGUAACACCCGAAGCCGGUGGAGUAACCUUUUAGGAGCUAGCCGUCGAAGGUGGGACAAAUGAUUGGGGUGAAGUCGUAACAAGGUAGUCGUAUCGGAAGGUGCGGCUGGAUCACCU